GAAUAUUGCACAAUGGGGGAAACCCUGAUGCAGCGACGCCGCGUGAGUGAAGAAGUAUUUCGGUAUGUAAAGCUCUAUCAGCAGGGAAGAAAAUGACGGUACCUGAUUAAGAAGCACCGGCUAACUACGUGCCAGCAGCCGCGGUAAUACGUAGGGGGCAAGCGUUAUCCGGAUUUACUGGGUGUAAAGGGAGCGCAGGCGGCACGGCAAGCCUGAUGUGAAAGCCCGCGGCCCAACCGCGGGACUGCAUUGGGAACUACCGGGCUGGAGUGCCGGAGAGGUAGGCGGAAUUCCUAGUGUAGCGGUGAAAUGCGUAGAUAUUAGGAGGAACACCAGUGGCGAAGGCGGCUUACUGGACUGUAACUAACACUGAGGCUCGAAAGCGUGGGGAGCAAACAG
rnacentral:rRNA from 1 species